rnacentral:rRNA from 1 species
GACGAACGCUGGCGGCGUGCUUAACACAUGCAAGUCGAACGGUGAUGCUCCAGCUUGCUGGCGUGGAUCAGUGGCGAACGGGUGAGUAACACGUGAGCAACCUGCCCCAGACUCUGGAAUAAGCGCUGGAAACGGCGUCUAAUACUGGAUACGAAACUGGCCCGCAUGGGCAUGGUUUGGAAAGUUUUUCGGAUUGGGAUGGGCUCGCGGCCUAUCAGCUUGUUGGUGAGGUAAUGGCUCACCAAGGCGACGACGGGUAGCCGGCCUGAGAGGGCGACCGGCCACACUGGGACUGAGACACGGCCCAGACUCCUACGGGAGGCAGCAGUGGGGAAUAUUGCACAAUGGGCGAAAGCCUGAUGCAGCGACGCCGCGUGAGGGAUGACGGCCUUCGGGUUGUAAACCUCUUUCAGCAGGGAAGAAGCGAAAGUGACGGUACCUGCAGAAGAAGCACCGGCUAACUACGUG